rnacentral:rRNA from 1 species
ACCGGCGGCUCGAGUGGUGGCCACUAUUACUGGGCUUAAAGGGUCCGUAGCUUGAUAUGCAAGUCUUUUGAGAAAUCCGCCGGCUUAACUGGUGGGCGUUCAGGGGAAACUGCAUUUCUAGGGACCGGGAGAGGGGAGAGGUACUGCUGGUGUAGGAGUGAAAUGCUGUGAUCCCGGUGGGACCACCGAUGGCGAAGGCAGCCCUCCGGAACAGGUCCGACAGUGAGGGGCGAAAGCUGGGGGAGCAAACCG